AGUUGCGAAGGCGGAUCUCUGGACGAUAACGGACGCUGAGGCACGAAAGCAUAGGGAGCACACAGGAUUGGAUAGCCUGGUAGUCAACGCUGUAAACGAAGAGUACUAGGUGACGGAGGUUACCCGCUUCGGUGGCGCAUCUAACGCAUUAAGUACUCCGCCUGGGAAGUACGCUCGCAAGAGUGAAACUCAAAGGAAUGGACGGGGACCCGCACAAGUAGCGGUGCAUGUGGUUUAAUUCGAAGCAACGCGAAGAACCUUACCUAAGCUUGACAUCCCAAUGACAUCUCCUUAAUCGGAGAGUUCCUUUCGGGGACAUUGGUGACAGGUGGUGCAUGGUUGUCGUCAGCUCGUGUCGUGAGAUGUUGGGUUAAGUCCCGCAACGAGCGCAACCCUUGUCUUUAGUUGCCAUCAUUAAGUUGGGCACUCUAGAGAGACUGCCAGGGAUAACCUGGAGGAAGGUGGGGAUGACGUCAAAUCAUCAUGCCCCUUAUGCUUAGGGCUACACACGUGCUACAAUGGGUAGUACAGAGGGUUGCCAAGCCGUAAGGUGGAGCUAAUCCCUUAAAGCUACUCUCAGUUCGGAUUGUAGGCUGAAACUCGCCUACAUGAAGCUGGAGUUACUAGUAAUCGCAGAUCAGAAUGCUGCGGUGAAUGCGUUCCCGGGUCUUGUACACAC
rnacentral:rRNA from 1 species